CCCGCCGGACCCCACUGCUAUCGAGAUGGGACUAAGCCAUGCUAGUCGAACGACCCGAACUAUGGCGGGUAGUGGCAGACUGCUCAGUAACACGUAGCUAACCUACCCUCGGGACGGGUAUAACCCCGGGAAACUGAGGUUAAUACCCGAUAGGUGUGGAUUCCUGGAAUGGUGCCACGCUUAAAAGUUGUCCACCCAUGUUGUGUACACACGCCCGAGGAUGGGGCUGCGGCCGAUCAGGCAGUUGGUGAGGUAAUGGCUCACCAAACCUUUGACCGGUACGGGCCGUGAGAGCGGUAGCCCGGAGAUGGGCACUGAGACAAGGGCCCAGGCCCUACGGGGCGCAGCAGGCGCGAAACCUCCACAAUGCACGCAAGUGCGAUGGGGUUAUCUCGAGUGCCGCCUGAAGAAGGUGGCUUUUCCAUGGUGUAUGAUCGUGGGAAUAAGGGGGGGGCAAGACUGGUGUCAGCCGCCGCGGUAACACCAGCUCCCCGAGUGGUGGGGAUGAUUAUUUGGCCUAAAGCGUCCGUAGCCGGCUGAGUAAAUUUCUCGUUAAAUCCAACGUCCUAAGCGUUGGGCUGCGAGAAAGACUGCUCAGCUAGAGGGUGGGAGAGGUCAGCGGUAUUCCUGGGGUAGGGGCGAAAUCCAUUGAUCCCAGGAGGACCACCAGUGGCGAAGGCUGCUGACUAGAACACGCCUGACGGUGAGGGACGAAAGCUGGGGUAGCGAAUCGGAUUAGAUACCCGAGUAGUCCCAGCCGUAAACGAUGCAGGCUAGGUGUUGGGUCGGCCAUGGGCCGCCUCAGUGCCACAGGGAAGCCAUUAAGCCUGCCGCCUGGGGAGUACGGCCGCAAGGCUGAAACUUAAAGGAAUUGGCGGGGGAGCACCACCA
rnacentral:rRNA from 1 species